rnacentral:rRNA from 1 species
UACGGGGGGGGCAAGCGUUGUUCGGAAUUACUGGGCGUAAAGGGCCAGUAGGCGGCCAACUAAGUCGGAUGUGAAAUCCCCAGGCUCAACCUGGGAACUGCAUCCGAUACUGGAUGGCUUGAAUUCGGGAGAGGGAUGCAGAAUUCCAGGUGUAGCGGUGAAAUGCGUAGAUAUCGAGAGGAACACCUGCGGCGAAGGCGGGUUGCUGGGCUGACACUGACGCUGAGGCGCGAAAGCUAGGGGAGCGAACGGG